GCUUGAGGACAAGGGGACCUCCUGGAGCAUGUGGUCUACCCCCUUUAGAAGGUGGCAAAGGGAUACCAGGCAGGAUUGAGGACACCAGGAGAGGCUGGGGACAUCAGGACCUCCUGGAGCACCCUGCAUAUUCCCUCAAGGAGGUGCCAUGGGGACACUGGGAGGGGUUGCGGACACAGUGGUGGUUUGGGGACAUGAAGAUUCUCAGGGCGAUGGAGGGGAUGUGGGGACACUGAGGUACCACAGGGCCACCUCCAGCCCCAUGUCCCUGUCCCCACAGUACCUGUCUGUCUCCAACAAGGCCCUUGGCCACUACGUUUUUGCUCACUUCUAUCUGGUCAGCGCACUGUGUCAGAAUUAUAGGGGUCUCAGUCUCAGUCCUUGGCAGAGGGGCUUCAAUCUCUGUUCAUCAUGGUGGUAGUGAAACAGACAAAGGAUUUUCCAUGGGGAGGACCACCAAAGUUGCUCUAGCAAGUUCAUUGGGCCAAGAGGUGGGAAAAUUCCUGGGCUGUUGUCGCAAAGCAGGUGCAAGCACACAGGUCCAUCGCCCCCUUAACCAGGCCCUGUUAAAAACAGUGCACCGUGGUGGCAAAUAGCCCUGCAAACAAUCACUUGGCAGGCCAGAACUCUGCUCAAGGGCUUGGCGUGCAUCCACCUCAAUCAGGUCAAAAUUCCAAUCAGGGUCCUCAGGUGUAAGAGCCGAAAUGAGGGAUGUGGGACUCCAGGUGGCUCUUCAAAAUGCAGUUUAUUCUAAGAUGUUACAGCAGUCCAGGGUUGUGGGCGACAGAGCCUGUACCUGCAGCUGUCAGCUCCUGCUACAGGCAGGCCUGGAGACCCUUUGGUUUUGGUUGCAUUGCAUUAUAUACUUUUCUUUGCUGAGCAUCUUAAUACAGUAGAACCAACCUAUACCUUAACUAUUAUCUGUAGCCUGUCAUUACUGCUAUAAUUACCAUAUUCAUGUUGGUAUUCUCCAAUCACUAAAAGUUAGUACAUUACAGUUUAAGCUAGAAGUUGUUUUUCAGUUUUCUUGCAGUGGAAAAUCUGGAGACCUUUUUUUCUACUUGCAACAUCAGCAGGCUUGUUUGCCUGUGCUAUCUUUCUCCUUGGUAAAAACAUCUGUUUGUUUGAGGGGUGACUGCUGCUGUCUGGGGCUGCCCUUGUGGUACAGCUGGAACCUGGAUGGUUGUAACAUCUGUGGCUUCAGUGGCUGCACUAUCAGGCUCUCCCUCUUUGAGGCAAGGGGAGGGUUUCUCACCAUCUGGGGAAAUGUGCUCCUUCAGCAUCUGGCCCGUCUCCUUUACCAGAAACUCCACCCAAUCCGGGUGAUUAAUUUCUGGGGUGGGCUGUGGGGCAGGGUAAGGCUCUGGGGCAUCAUCCCUAGUUUCUGGGGUAGGAAUCAGGGUGCUUAUCCAAGUCAAUCUUCCCUUAUCUCUGAAUGCUUAAUAGAACAGGCAUAUCAGCAACACCAGCCCCUGUAUGAUAUCAUUAGCAUUUAGAGAAGAUUUGAACUCUUUGAAAACUGGUGGGGCAGACCCAAAGAGCUGGGUGAAGGGUUGGGAGAAAAUUUCCCCUGGUGUCAUUUCUUCACAGUAAGUAUCAUUAUUAAAGUAACCCCAAAGCCAUACAGUUAGUGUAUGAUAGCUCUGAAUCCAUGUGCCCUCCUUUGAGAGGAAGAUAAAAAUCCAUUAAUUCUUCACGUUAUUAACCCAUAAAGCCACAGUAGCCUUAGUUAUAGGAUUCAUGUUUAGAUAAGGGCCUGCAAAUAGGAGAAAUAUAGCCAUGACCACAUGCCACCCAAAACAGAGUAAGCUGGACCACUUGGUGCCACCUAACAAGAUUUCUAUAUCCAACACACAAAAAAUUAGGUUACUCAACAUUUUUUCUAUCUGUGCCCUCAGGCCCCAUAUUGGGCACCAGAAUCUGUCUUGGUUUGAAAAGACAGAUGUAAGGAAGGUAGGAGCCUCCCUGAAAUGGAAAAUGUAAACCCCUUCCCUCCGAAUUAUUAUAAUUUUGAAAUUAAGAAGCUCUCAGGCAAAGAUAUGGGAAUAGGAAGAACAGGAAAUUUAAAAUGCAAAUGUAGUAAUACAAAAAAACCCACUGACAGAGUCAGAAUAUGACCUGAGACCCUGUUGGCCAGGGUGUUGGUUGCAGUCCAAUUAAAUGGUGGCUGCAGUCCUCCUGGAGGGACAGAUGUGCUUCUGUUGAGGCAGUCAUCCUGCAGAAGGGUGUAGUCUUCCUCUGAAAGUCUAGUGGUGGAGUAGUCUGGUCUUCCUGGCCUUCCUUUGAAGAUCCAGUGGGAAAAGGCUGGCUGUGGUUUUCCACAUCUAACAUUAUAUCCAGUUAGGAAUGCUUGGCCCUUACCCAUGGGUGGAACAUCUCACAAUACGAUGAUGCAAUUUUAUCAGUCAUGCAGUGAUGCUCAAUGGCCCAUUAACAGAAGGUAUCUCCCCAGAGGGAGGAUUGGUCAUGGAAGAGGUAAAGAAAACUGCCCCAUCUGGUUUUAACAUCCUGGCCAUUAACAGAAGAUAUGCCCUCAGAGUUAUGAGGGAUGAGACAUGGAAAAGAUAAAGAACACCCCUUACCUGUGAGAGUCUGUCCGAAUUUUCCCUCAUCUGCCUCAUGAUUGUCAUUUGGGGACCACUGAAGAGAAGACCACCCCUGUCUGGAAUCUCUGGCUCUGAAGGAGAAAGUCACAUGCCAAAGGCCCUGAGACCUGGAGAGCACAGUGCUAAGUUACUGUCUUCACAGGUAUUGUUUGCUGUAUGCUACACUGAGCCCAAUGAAGGGGGCUCUGUGUCCUUUUUGCAACAAUAGCCUUGGAAGCUGUCCCACCUCUCGGACUGGCUGGAAUUCUCCUCAGUUUUGGGUGGUCUCCCACAGAGGACCCUCACCUGUUUUACAACCACCGUGACAGACAGACUGAGAUGUCAGAAGCCUCUCCAUCAAGGACUGAGACAUGAAACUCCUAUGUGAAAAGGCCCCUUUCCUCCUUCCAAGCACUGGGACUGAAACCCCCAUCCUGGGGGAGGUGUGUGGGGGAGGCAAGCUGACCAAAGGGAGAUGUUUGCCUGCAGCAGGUGUGACCACUGGACCAAGAAGACAAUGACUCUUGCUUACUGUUGAGAACAUAGAUUACCUGUUACGUCUAUUCCUUAUUGUAUCCCCCCCCCGCCCCCAAUUUUCAAUAGAAUUAUCAUAAUAAAAACCUCUGAGUUAGCUAGAGAUUUUGAGAUCUCCCCAAUGUAACAGGCAGAUCCUCAACUGGACUGGACCAAAGGACUUCGUCUCUACAUUUGGUAGCUAUAUCCCCCCCCCCACCUCUCUCUCUCUUUCCUUUCUCUCUAUCUUUUCUCUCCCUUAAUCCCUCUACCGCAUUUUGCUGUAGUCAUUCAAUAAAGGUGCAUUUGUUUUGAUUAUCACUGCCAA